UACGUAGGGGGCAAGCGUUGUCCGGAAUCAUUGGGCGUAAAGAGCGUGUAGGCGGCCCGGUCAGUCCGCCGUGAAAGUCCAGGGCUCAACCCUGGAAUGCCGGUGGAUACUGCCGGGCUGGAGUCCGGAAGAGGCGAGUGGAAUUCCUGGUGUAGCGGUGAAAUGCGCAGAUAUCAGGAGGAACACCAAUGGCGAAGGCAGCUCGCUGGGACGGUACUGACACUGAGACGCGAAAGCGUGGGGAGCAAACAGG
rnacentral:rRNA from 1 species